GUGGGUAUACGACUUUCGGGCUUCGGCUCGACUCUCCCACCCUUUGUGAACGUACCUCUGUUGCUUUGGCGGCUUCGGCCGCCAAAGGACCUUCAAACUCCAGUCAGUAAACGCAGACGUCUGAUAAACAAGUUAAUAAACUAAAACUUUCAACAACGGAUCUCUUGGUUCUGGCAUCGAUGAAGAACGCAGCGAAAUGCGAUAAGUAAUGUGAAUUGCAGAAUUCAGUGAAUCAUCGAAUCUUUGAACGCACAUUGCGCCCCUUGGUAUUCCGGGGGGCAUGCCUGUUCGAGCGUCAUUACAACCCUCAAGCUCUGCUUGGAAUUGGGCACCGUCCUCACUGCGGACGCGCCUCAAAGACCUCGGCGGUGGCUGUUCAGCCCUCAAGCGUAGUAGAAUACACCUCGCUUUGGAGCGGUUGGCGUCGCCCGCCGGACGAACCUUCUGAACUUUUCUCAAGGUUGACCUCGGAUCAGGUAGGGAUACCCGCUGAACUUAAGCAUAUCAAAAGGCGGAGGAAA
rnacentral:rRNA from 1 species